GACGAACGCUGGCGGCGUGCUUAACACAUGCAAGUCGAACGGAAAGGCCCUGCUUUUGUGGGGUGCUCGAGUGGCGAACGGGUGAGUAACACGUGAGUAACCUGCCCUUGACUUUGGGAUAACUUCAGGAAACUGGGGCUAAUACCGGAUAGGAGCUCCUGCUGCAUGGUGGGGGCUGGAAAGUUUCGGCGGUUGGGGAUGGACUCGCGGCUUAUCAGCUUGUUGGUGGGGUAGUGGCUUACCAAGGCUUUGACGGGUAGCCGGCCUGAGAGGGUGACCGGCCACAUUGGGACUGAGAUACGGCCCAGACUCCUACGGGAGGCAGCAGUGGGGAAUAUUGCACAAUGGGCGGAAGCCUGAUGCAGCAACGCCGCGUGCGGGAUGACGGCCUUCGUGUUGUAAACCGCUUUCGCCUGUGACGAAGCGUGAGUGACGGUAAUGGGUAAAGAAGCACCGGCUAACUACGUG
rnacentral:rRNA from 1 species